UACGGAGGGGGCUAGCGUUGUUCGGAAUUACUGGGCGUAAAGCGCACGUAGGCGGCUUUGUAAGUUAGAGGUGAAAGCCCGGGGCUCAACCCCGGAAUAGCCUUUAAGACUGCAUCGCUUGAACACGGGAGAGGUGAGUGGAAUUCCGAGUGUAGAGGUGAAAUUCGUAGAUAUUCGGAAGAACACCAGUGGCGAAGGCGGCUCACUGGACCGUUGUUGACGCUGAGGUGACGAAAGCGUGGGGAGCAAACAGG
rnacentral:rRNA from 1 species